UAGCUCAAUUGGUUAGAGCAUCGGACUGUCGAUCCGAAGGUUGAGGGUUCGAGACCCUN
rnacentral:tRNA from 1 species